CGGGGUCCCUGGGCUUUCCCCUAGGGUCCCAUCAGCUGCUUAUGUUCUACCUUCUGACGGAUCACAGGAGGAGCCUGCAGCGGAGGAGCCUCCUCCUCCUCAGCAUCAGACCUAAAGGGAGUGUCCUGCCUGAAGGACCGGCUCAAGGUCGCACUAACAGCUCUUGCUAACUCCUGUUCCAGGCUGUUUAUCUGGGCCUCCAAGUACCCUGCUUGCGCCUGGAGGUCUCUCACCCCCAGGUCCUGCUCAAAGCUGUGCACUUGGGCCCCCAGGCAUGCGGCUUGCUCCGGAAGGUCCCUUACCUGUGGCACUGAGCAUGUACUUCCUGCAGUGCAGUUAGAAAUGCCCAUCCGACUCUGCUUGCAAAGUGCAGAGAGGGAGACACCCUUACAAAUGGAGAUUUGCUGGAUAGAAAUGUGGCCAAAGAGUUCAAUAAAAGGUUCCUUUAUUUAUAGGCACAGCUGCUUAAAGACUGUUACCGGAAAGGAAUCCUGAUCCAGACGCCAAGAGAGGGUUCUUGGACUCAUGCAAGAAAGACUUCAGACAAGUACAGACAAUCACCAGGAACUAAGGAACAAGAAGCAUCCAACCCUGCAUCUGUGGGUUUCCUGAGGUGACUCUCAAUUGUCAUAGGGGUGAAGAGUGAGUGAGGAAACCCUUGGAGCACUUGUUUGCUUCACAGACAUCCUGACCUCCUUUCAACUGUAAAGACUUAGUCAGAGGACGGCGGCUCCCUCAGCCUCAUUCUGCAGUUCCAAUGACACUUUUUACAAAGGCUCUGUACUUGUCUGAUUCUUAAAUAUUCCAGUUUUUGAACUUUGCUGCAGUAGUUGUAUUCGAAAUGGGUUAAUUGUCUCAUUUUCUUUUUAAUGCCUACUCUUUCAAGGCUCAAAUCUUGAAUAGGUCAAAAAGAGCAAGAGGAAAAUGUCAGAGAAUGGAGAAAGGCAAAUACAGAGAAGCAGUGUGAACAUCCACCCGGCGAGGUGACCUGAUGGUGCUGCUCCAUGUCAGAGACAGUAGUGUCUGGGAAGAGGGAGCCCUUUCCACAGGGUGGAGCAAAAGGCCUGGAGCUGACACCUGGCUCCUGGGCCCACUCGCCCACCACCUCGAGCAACUCCCUUCCUUAACGUCUGCCCGAGUGUUAAGGGCUGAGCACAUGACCUCACAGGAGGAUGUGAGGGGCAGCGGUAACAUGUGUCUAGCACUUUGUCCCUUAUAAGUCACUCACAAAUACUUAUAUCCUUAUUAUCUUCAUCCUUUUCUCUUGAGUUUUUCUCUAAUUCUUUAAGAAGGAAACACGUAGCCAGGAAGUGGAGAGCCUCUCACAUACUUGGGGAGUUUUCAUAUUUCCCCCAUCAGUUCCUUUUCUGGCCUGAGCUCAUGCUCCCUAAGAUCAGGGCUUGGGCUUUGUUUUAGUCUGUGUUGUUAUAAAAGAAUAUCCAACAGUGUGUAAUUUAUAAAGAAAAGAGGUUGACUUGGCUCAUGGUUCUGCAGGCUGUACAGGAACAAGCUUGGCUCCAGCAUCUGCUUGGCUUCUAGGGAGGCCUCAGGAAGCCUUUACUCAUGGGGGAAGGCAAAGGGGAGCAGGCAUUAUGUGAGAGGAAGGAAGAGAGAGGCAGGGGAGGUGCCAGGCCCUUUUAAACAAUCAGCGCCCAUGGGAAAUAACAGAGCCAGAACUCACUCAUUAACUUCAGAAUGGCACCAAGCCAGUCAUAAGGAUCCACCUCCAUGACCCAGACACCUGCCACCAGGCCACGCCCAGUAUCAGGGAUCACAUUUUAACGUGAGACUCGGAGGGGACAAACAUCCAAAUCACAUCUGGCCCCAUAACCUUUGGAGACCUCAGCUCUGGCGCUAGGGUGGUAGGUCCCCUAAGGGUUCGUGCUCUCUGAAGGAAUUGGGUUACAUUACCUGGGAGAGCUUUCUGGAGGAAGUGAGCUUUGCUUCUCACAGGUUUCUAUAAGGAGAAGGAUGGGCUGUUGGAAAGGGAGUGAGUGUGUGUCCAAGUGAGGGAAAGUGAGGUUCAGCAUCUUGGUGCUCUUGGCUCAGCUUCCCUUUCUAUGCCAUGCACAGUGCCUCCAGGAUGCCAGGGGGUGCCAUCCCUGACCUGUUCUGGGGUGGGUGUGCAAGAUGCGAAAUGGCUAAUUUCAGUUCACUGGUAACUCUAACAUUUGGAUAAUAAUUGGCCAUAGCAUUAGCUUUGGUUAUACAUCUCCAAAUGUGUUAUUACAUUAUAUAUAUAUAUAUAUAUAUAUAUAUAUAUAUAUAUAUAUGCACACACACACGUAUACAUAUAUACACACAUCUACACUGUAUUGAUAUGUUGAUAUAUUGAUGUUAUGAAUUAUUUUAAAGAGUAUUCUAUUGAUGUAGAGGAUAAUAUGAAAUUCAAUAUUUUCUGGCACUCUUUUUAAAUGAUACUUAGGCCAUCUGAUGAAAACAGAGCUCAGUAAAGAUUUCUUAUUGAUAAAUCAACAUUACAAAUGAAGACUAGUUUCAUUGCCAUGAUCAGUAAAUUAAGGGUCAUAAAUUAACUGUUGAGUUAUUUUCUUUGCACUAUUAAGCCUUCCACUCAAUCUUUCUACAGUCUUUCUUAUUUAGCAAACGGUGUUACUUGAUAGAAACCUCUGCUGUGAUUUUGUUUUUUGAAAUUUAAUAAGAAAGCUAUAUAAUACAAUUCUCGGGGGAAAACAAGCAAGGUAGGUUUUUCACGGUAACCUCCAAGCAGAGAAAUGGUUUCAGUGCGCAGUCCAGUGAAUUUCCUCCAUAGAGUGUGCUGGAAGAAGUCACCUGGAAGUGAUCACCAGAGUGAUAUUCAGUUUGACUCUCAUUGGUUUGUAUAUAAUUGAUUAUAUAUAAAAACAAAUGCCAGGGUGAGGGUGGGACUAGAGUCCCCCUUUCAGGCUCCUCCCCUUGCAUUUCCAUCUGGUCUUGCAGCAAGUUAACCACGGUCCUAUCUUCAGGUUCAAUUACUCCCUUUAAAAAAUAGGUUUUAACACCUAUGUAUCUCUCAACAUUAUAUUGUUUUAUUUUGAAAAAUUGAAUAAUAACCACACACCUAGCUUUGGAAGCAAGAGGCUUCAUGGCCAGGAUCAGAUAAAUGAUCCUCUUAGAGUGGGUGGGACCUCAGCAUCCCAGAGCGUGUGGAAGAGUGCCUGCCAGGAAGCCACCAGACAAGGUCCUAAGUACAUGCAUGGAAACACUGGGCACGAUGCUGACUGUGGCAUGGGCCAAAAAGUGACAUGGGGCAGAACUUCAGUGGGAGGAGGGGUGCUCUGUACGUUCAGCUUCUAAGCCCACUGUGGCCUUCCUCUUAGGGUUUCACAGAGCCAAGCAGAAAAGGAGCACAGGUGACCUUGGCAGGAAGGCAUGCAUGGGAGAGCAGGUCUGCACUCUGGGACACCAGCCUCAACAGAAUACGAGUUUUGAAUUUUUGAAUUGCUGUUAAAACUUUCAUCAUGAACACUGAAGUGAGUGAAAAGAGACUUUUGCAGUCAUUUUUUUGCUGGCUGCAGAUGACAGUGACACCCUGGGAGUUGAGAAAUGCUUGUAAGAUGGAAGGAGGCUGUGUCCCUGAAUGAUCACCUGGAAGAGAGCCACCUUAGCCAAUGAAACUCCUGCUAUGAAUGUUUGCUGAGCAAGAAAUAUACUUACUGCUUUAUAUGCCUUUGAAGCUAUAGGUUCAUAUUGUUACCACAAUUUAAAGUGCUAUAAUAAAAAGAGUUCAGGAAGCAGGCACAUGGAAGCAAUAAGAGCAACAAACAUUUACACAGGUAUUGUUUAAGUGCUUUUGUUUAACAAUCACUAUAGCUAUUAGUAGCCUCAUUGUAAUAAUGAGUAAAGCUUAGAGAUUAAAAAGUAUUUCUUAUAACACAGUUAUUUGAGAAGACUGCCCAGCUGAAAACUUGGCCUAUCUAAUUAUAAAGAAGAGCCAGUGCAUGUUCCUAAAAUACUAGGGUGAUAUGAUUAGAAUAAGCUGGCUUAUCACCACAGAUCCACUUAAGGGCAAGUUACAAAUAAGUCGAUGUUUACAAAAUCUUGAGAGUCCACUGAGGCAUAUUACCAUAUGUUUGCCAGGAAACUCUUUUUAAUUGUAUAGGUAAUAUUCACAUUAUAGAAACAUUUUUUAAUAAAUAGAAAAAAUCUUUUUCAUCAACCCACAAUCUUAAUAUAAUCCUUGUUUGUAUUUUGAUGUACUUCUUUCUAUACUAUUUUUCUUUUUCUUUUCUUUUUUUUUUUUUUUUUUUUUUUGAGGUUGAGUCUCACUCUAUUGUCCAGGUUGGAAUGCAGUGGCCUGAUCUCGGCUCACUGCAACCUCCAUCUCCCGCGUUCGGUGGAUUCUCAUGCCUCAGCCUUCUCAGGUCCCUGGACCAUGAAGGGCCACAUCCAAGGAGCUACCCCAGGAGGCCUCUCAUUUGCAUUUGUCCCCGCUAAUGCAGGACAGAGAUCAUGGAAGUUGGGCCCGACUGGAUGAGAUUUGGGGGUCUUUGGAAGUGGAGAAUGUGUUUGCCCUGGGGAAGAGAGGUGAUGUCUAGGAGACCUCUUCACUCAGGGCAAGCUCUAUGACCUGCUUUGACUCCAGAAUGUGGUAGAAGUGGCAUCACAUAAAUUGCAGAGCCUAGGCUUCAAGAGACCUUGCAACUUGCCUCUCACUGACUUGAAGUGCUCCCAUCAGAGCAUCUUGUAAGGAGCAGGUGGAGCAUGUGGACAAGCCAUCCCCACCAGCCCCUGAGACAUGUGAGAGAGGCCAGAACAGGCCAUCCGGACCCCACUGUGCUGGUGGAUGAGACAGCAGAAGGAAUAUCAACCUACCAACAGAAUCCUGAGAAAUGCUCACUCUUACUUCAAGCUGCUGCAUUUUGAUGUUAUGAAACCAUAAAUAACUUAUGAAGUCAUCUUUGCUGACUUAAAGUUUUCCAUAACUUUAUUAUAACAUAUCAAAAUUAUGAAAAAUGUGAAAAGUAGAAAACUGAUGAAUUUUGCUUCUUCAUAUGGUCUUUAAGAAUCUCAAAGGCACUGAAGUUUUUUAUCUUUUCUGUCUUAGAAUAAAAAACCUUGAAUGAAAAUCUGCUUCUUGGAAAAGCAGCAAGGUUUAUGCAGAGGCAAUCUGGUAUUUGUGUGCACUGGCAGCUGAUCAUACCCAGCAUGCACGCACUCUCAGGGCAGAGUCUGAUGCCCCACAUAAUGGGGCAUGGUAAGGACUCCCAUGUCCUUGAGAUAAAAUGAUAAGGAAAAUACACACUGCUAUUAGAAUAACAGGCCCAGCUUCUGCACAUUUUAAUUCCCAAAGUUUUCAUGAAAGACAAUGAUUUUUUGGUACCAUGUUUAACUCUACAAGAAUCAGUAGUGAAAACUAAAAAUGAUACUUUGUGAAAGUUCAUUAAUUUUGUUUUCAGCCAGUGGUGGCCUUGGUCAGAUAGAAUCAAAUCUAUGAUACUUUUUAUCAGAAAUGCUUAUACUGUGUACAAACCCAAAGUGAUGGCUUUCAAAGAUUGAAUUUGAUUAUUUUCUGUAUGGUGCAGAUGAAAAAUUACUACACAGGAGAAGGUGGGUUGGAGGUGCUCACGAGUAACCAGGAAACAGUCUGAAGUUUUUCUGAUACUUCUCCUUGGUCCAACCAAAUGUGAGAUAUAAACACAAACUUGGGAUUCCGUUCUUAUGUUUUGGUUGUUUCAGUCUUUACAGAUGUAUCGAAAGGCUGUCCAAAAAUGUCUGACUUCUGUAGUGUGCCUUCGUAGCACUAGAGGGUUCUGCAGCUGUGAAACUGAAGGCAUUGGCAAGAAGCCCUCCAUCUUCAAACCACUUUCUGCUAAGGUGUGGCUCUAUAAAACCACUAUGAGCUGGGCUUCACUGAGACUGAGUUGUUUCAGUAGGAUCUUCCGGAAAAACAUGUUCCCUCCUUUACCUGGGUUGUCAUUCUGAGAACAAUCACACCUCCAAUUUUGGCUUACUAAGCAAUAGCGUUUUAAUGAUUUUAAGCCAGGAUUUGCUCCUCCUUUCCUCAGUAUGAGAGCUUAACCACUGGAGGAACCAAGAAUUCAUGCUGGUUGGGUUCUGAUUCCACUUUAACUUACUGUAUAGCCUCAUCCCUUGUUUUUCUGGAGAUUCUCUUUUUCUGCUUCACUGAUUUAUAUUUACAUUAAAAUCAAAUGAGGCCAUGUUUCUGAAAUCACAUUGUCCCUACAUGGUCAUUACAAUGAGUCUGUAAUGUGACUGAAAGACAGCCAUGGAUACAGGUAGAGGAUAUCAGGCAAUUGAAUGCUCAUCAAGCAUUCAAUUCAGGGCAAAUGGCAUAAGGUAUGCAGUUGGCCUCUUCUGAUAUCUGUGUCUUAAUCCUUUCUUUAGCCUCUGUUUUCUGGACCAAGGCUAAGAUAUUUUCUGGGCACAGUGGCUCAUGCCUAUAAUCCCAGCACUCUGGGAGGCCAAGGUGGGAGGAUUUCUUCAGCCCAGGAGUUCGAGACCAGCCUGGGGAACAUAGGAGACCUCAUUCCUACAAAUAAUAAAAAAAAUUAGCCAGCUCUGGUGGCGUGUGCUUAUUGGUCUCAGCUACUUGGGAGGCUGAGGUGGGAGGACUGCUUGAGCCCAGAAGAUCGCAGCUGCAUUGAGCCAUGAUUGUGCCACUGAACCCUAGCCUGAGCAACAGAGCAAGGCCUUAUCUCAAAAAAAAAAAAAAAUUCUGAGCCUUCUAAUUUUUUUUUUCUUUAAUUAACUUUCUGUAAGCCCAGCAAGUAAAUAAAACACUUAUUUUAUGAAGCAUCUAGUUGCUUUUAGGGGAAGGGACAUCCUCCGCAUAGUAUCUAGGCCAGCUCACUUUCUUCUCCUUACUGUUGAUUUACUCUCUGCCAUUGAAUCUUCUGUGCCAAUGUUGGAUUAAUGUUUCCGGGCCCUACUUUCAUCAUGCUCCUCUGUAUUAUCACCUGUUUUGGUUUACAGCAAUGAUUUUUAAGGUAAGGCAUGGUGUGUCCAUCAUAGUCACAUGGGAACUUUUUCAAGCCAUAUUAAAAAUGUCCCCCAUUCAUCAUUCUGCCCCUGGAACAGUGUGUGCAGUUGGGACCUUCAAGUAAAUCUACUUUGUUGAAACCCACUGAUCAGCAUGGUGUAUUUCAUAACUCUUUGACUUACAUUCAAGAAAUUCCUUAACCUGAACUCCAUUUUACUCUUUUUUUCAUUCAUUCAAAUUAAGAAUAUUGCCUGAACAUGAAUUAUCUGCUAGACGUUUUUCUAGGUGCAGGAGGAGUAAGGAUGAACAUAACUAGCCAUAACUAUAGCUAUCAAUUGUGGAGUGUCUGUUAUGUGCCAGGCACUUUUAAGUGACCUACUCGAUUUACUUGCAUGACAAACUGUGAGGAAAAGCCCAAUAUUAUCCCCUAUUAACAGAUGAGGAAACUGAAGCACAAACAGCAUGAAUAGUUUGUUCCAGAUUGCAUCAUAAGAGGCACAGCCAGCUUUCCUACCAAAGCAGCCCUGGCCCAGAGUCCGUACUCCCUCCUCCCCUGCCUCUGCCUGGUGGAUAAGGUCACCCUGGCCUUGUGGAACUUAUGCUCUAGUGGGGACAAAUAGUUAUAGAGAAUGACCGAUGUUACUAAGAAAAUAAAAGCUGGUAAGAAAACAGAAGCACUGAGGAGGUGACUGAAGUGAGCAUUUAUAAUUUUAUGUUAUAUCCAUUGUAAAAUAUAAGUUUAGCUUUCUCAUACCAGAAGCAGGGCUCAGUCCACCCUUGACUCAGUUUCCAAUACUGUUCCCCAUCAGAAUGGCUCUUGCUGGUGGCCAGAAGUAAAACUUAGAAAUAUCUCUCUCAGAGACACCUAAGCAGGCUGGGCUCCCCGGUUUCCUGUUGCUUCCUUUAAAGAAGCUCUUCAGACAUCUGCACAAGAACUCAAAGUGACCACCUCUCAGCCCAGCAUGACCUACUGGAACUAAUGCCUGCUUGCUUUCAACCUACCAAUUAAAGCUCCCCAGGAAACCUGUUUAGAUAACACCCUGGACCCAAGAAAGGUGCUGGGCCAUGGGUUUCUUCUCUCUCUCCCUAUCUGUGCUCCCUGACCCCCUGUGUGUGUGUGGUCUCUAGGCUUGCCUUCUAUCCCUGAGGGUCUGUAAAUACUAAAAACACUUAAACUUUCAUAUUGUAGUUGUGUCUUUGAAGCCAGGUCCCCAUCCCGUACCUUGAGGGCAAGGCCUCCUGGAAGGGACCCAUGUAGGUGGAUCCCCUGCUGUCCAGGCCUCUUAGCUGCUGGGGUAGUGACCAGUUAAGUGGAUAGAGUUUCAUUCAAAACAAUAAUCAUUCAACUGUAUCUCACAUCAAACCUCUGCUCUAGUUUAUGUAUCUACUUUAUGUUCUUAGAAGACUGUGCAAACACAUUGUCUUUUUUGAGUACCUGUCUUGUCCUAGGUACUCUGCUUGGUACGGGGAGAGACGAAUCUUCUGUCUUCAGGGGCUUCCACUCCAGCAGGGAGAACAUGACUAAUAGUGACUGCCUGCUGCUGUAGGUAAUAAGUGGCUCCCACUAGGCCCUCCAUUUGGUGGCCCCCUGUCCCUCUCACUGGUGGAAGCCUACCUGUCCUCUAAGGACCAGCUCACUAAUGUCCUAGAUCCUCACGGACCAGAUUGCUUUUCUCAGAACUGAAGAGCACUUACUAAUGGCACCUCUUGUCAUAUGCCAUCCCAGGAUUUGAAUUUUUUUUUUUUUUCUGUCUUGUGGCCCAAAUAAAUCCUGAACUCCUCGAGGGCUGGGAGUGUAUCUAGCAGUUUCCUUAUACUGGACUAAUCAGAUGCUGACUAGGUAGCAGUGAGAAAAAUCUAGAAAUUCCCUUUUAGCCACAUCGACUUACACGAGGGGAUGUGUGUAAGGUACUAUAGCUCUUUAAACAAGAGGUGGUCUCGUUUGAAGGGUGGAUUGAUGUGGGUGUUCAAAUGAUGUCACAAGUGGCUGGUUUCUCUGUCUCCAUUUCUUUUUUUUUUGGCUCCAUUUCCAAAUUUCCCAGAUAGCACAGCAAGUUGGCCCCAGCAGCUCUAGACACUCCAUCUUCUCAGGGCAUAGCCAACACAAUAAAAUAUUUCAAGUUCCUGAAAGAUAGCUGAAAUAAGCCCUAGAAGUUUCUGGAUUGGGAGCAGAGCCAAACCUGCCAGCUCACAUAGAUGAGGGCAGGGAAUAGGGUGUCUCACGAUCACAGUGUCCUGCCUUCUGAUUUGCCUGGGACUGUCCUGUUUUGGCACCAAAAAUAUCUGCAUCCUAGGAAACCCUCAGGUCCUGGGCAAAUUCAGACAGUGACUUGCCCUAUCAGAAGCAAAGCAAGGUGCCAUUACCUGAGGUGGGCAAAUUCAGACAGUGACUUGCCCUAUCAGAAGCAAAGCAAGGUUGCCAUUACCUGAGGUGGGCAAAUGGAGGCUGGGUGGCCAGUGAGUGACCAAUAACCCCAGCAUUGGAGAGAGUGGAGCAGCCCUUCAAGAAGUUCCAACCUCUGCCCAGGACUGGUUUUACCAACUUCACUAGGCUUAGAAUCGUAGGAAGUCUAUUUGGGACUUGCGAGUCUCACGUAUUCCUGCCUAAAUGUUUAUGGAUACCUGUUUAGAGCUGAAAUCUUUUCAGCUCCCAUAAUAUGAGGGAAUUAGGUCUCAAAGAAGAUCAUGUAUUUUGAUCAGACCUUAUAGCUGAGCAGUGGAAAGAAAAAAAAUCAGUGUGAGAUCUCCCAGGGUUCCGCAGGAGUGGCUUCCUUAGUCCAACUGGCAGCCUAUCCUGGAAUAUUGCCUGGGAGAGAGGUUAGUUGCUUUUCCUGGUGCUAGGAACUGAAUGGUUUUACAUAUUGAUCAAUGAAAAUACUUAUUUGGCCUACAAUAGGUGCAAAAAUACUGCUAAUUACUAACAGUAUCUCUUCUUUGCUGCGUGCCAGACACUCCACUGGGCAUUAUGCAGUUAAUAUGUACCAUGAAUUUCCCGUGGUUAGCAAUGAUGUCAGGCAUAGAAAAGACAUGAAAUUAUGAUGUCAAAUGAAUAAACUGGAAAAAGGAAUUUCUUGAAUUUUCUCCAGCUGUCCUAAGAAUGUAUCUAUACUUUGAUCCUGGCCUACCUUUUCAACAUCUAAACUUUAUUCCCCCAAGCUUCUAGAUAUUCAAAGUUAAGUAUUAAAUAAAAUCAGUAAAUAUAUACAAGCUUGUUUGGCCAUUCUGAAUAAGGUUAUAUUUCCACCACACAAUCUCCAAAUUCUCUAGCAGAAGGGAUCAGUAUGUUAUAGAUACCCCCUUUCCUUCCCUCCCUGGCAAGCCACCACAUCUGUUAUGGGUACUCAAUGCAGUGGCUGCACCUGGGCCUCACUCAUUAAGCAGUUGUUGAUUGAGUGACUGAAUUGAAUGCCUGAUGAGCUCGCAAGUAAGAUUCAGACUGUGCCUGCAAACUAAUAGGAUCCCUCCGCUUUUUAUUCACUACUGCUGAGGUAGAUCUCAGGCCAGCCUGAAGUUUAGGUCUACUGAGAAAUAAUAAGCCUCAAAAAUCGAGCUUUGCUUCACCCAGUCUCCCAGUAAACACUAAGAAAUGUUCACAUUAUUUACACAUCCUAGACUGCCUGUCUUAUGGACCAAAUGUUUGUGUUCUCCCCGCAAUUUAUACAUUGGAAUCCUAACCCUCAAUGUAAUAGCAUUAGGUGCUGGGGUCUUUGGGAGGUGAUUGGCUAAUGGACCUGGAGCCCUCAUGAUGGGAUGAGUCCCCUUAUCAGAAGAGACCUGAGAAGGCUUGCUUCCUCUCCCUGUGCUCUUCAUGAUGUGAAGACACAAGAAGACAGCCAUCUGUGGGCCAGGAAGAGGUCCUCACUGGAACCCAACCAUGCUGGCACCCCAAUCUUGAAUUUCUAGCUUCAAGAACUUGGGAAAUAAAUGUAAGCCAGCCAGCUUAUGGAUUUGUUACAGCAGCCUAAGCUAAGUCAGAGUCUCUAGAACAGCUGGUCUGGGGCAGCGGUGAAGGGAGGUGGGUGGGCAUAUGACCCUGCCCUGCACAUGAAUGGCAAAGGCAACUGGAGAGCCUCUCCCUUUUGGUGAGAUCCCCAGUCCACAAGGGCAUGUUCAUCCAUAGCUUUACUUCCCGAAGCAAAUUCUGGUUCCUGGGGCCUGUGCCUCCAUAGAUGGCAUGAUCUGCAGCCUCCUGUGGUAAUUUACCCUCUUCCUAAAUUUCUGAGUCUUCACAUUUAAGCAAUCCUAGUUAGAUAUCCUCUACCUGUAUCCAUGGCUGUCUUUCAGUCACAUUACAGACUCAUUGUGAUGACCAUGUAGGGACAAUGUGAUUUCAGAAACAUGGCCUCAUUUGAUUUUAAUGUAAAUAUAAAUCAGUGAAGCAGAAAAAGAGAAUCUCCAGAAAAACAAGGGAUGAGGCUGUACAGCAAGUUAAAGUGGAAUCAGAACCCAACUGUAGUCCAUUAUUUGUUUCAAUCCUGCUCUUUUCUACCAUAUCACCCAGUUUCCAAAUCGUUCAGCAAAUUGCCAUGGUCAAUGGGAUUAACCUUUCCCUUUUAUUCUCAGGAAAUCUCCCUUGUCCAUUUUGCAAGACUGUGUGAUUCUUUCUACUGUUACAAGGAAUAAAAGCCUUCCUAAAAAGGUCUUUGGUGCCUUUAUUAUUUUACGGAUCAUUUCUGAGGGAAUUAUUGAACUUCAUUAUGUAACCACCCCUUGGGUUCACCUUGCCCACUGCCUAGACAGAGCCAAUUUAUCCAGACAGGAGAAUUGCAAUGGAGAAAGAGUAAUUC
rnacentral:lncRNA from 1 species